rnacentral:rRNA from 1 species
CAAGUCGAACGGAAAGGCCCUUCGGGGUACUCGAGUGGCGAACGGGUGAGUAACACGUGGGUGAUCUGCCCUGCACUUUGGGAUAAGCCUGGGAAACUGGGUCUAAUACCGAAUACACCUUGCUGGAUGCAUGUCUGGUGGGGGAAAGCUUUUGCGGUGUGGGAUGGGCCCGCGGCCUAUCAGCUUGUUGGUGAGGUUACGGCUCACCAAGGCGACGACGGGUAGCCGGCCUGAGAGGGUGUCCGGCCACACUGGGACUGAGAUACGGCCCAGACUCCUACGGGAGGCAGCAGUGGGGAAUAUUGCACAAUGGGCGCAAGCCUGAUGCAGCGACGCCGCGUGAGGGAUGACGGCCUUCGGGUUGUAAACCUCUUUCGCCAGGGACGAAGCGCAAGUGACGG